GACGAACGCUGGCGGCGUGCCUAAUACAUGCAAGUCGAGCGGACUGAAUGGGAGCUUGCUCUUGUUCGGUCAGCGGCGGACGGGUGAGUAACACGUGGGCAACCUGCCCGCAAGACCGGGAUAACUCCGGGAAACCGGAGCUAAUACCGGAUAACACCGAAGACCGCAUGGUCUUUGGUUGAAAGGCGGCGCAAGCUGCCACUUGCGGAUGGGCCCGCGGCGCAUUAGCUAGUUGGUGAGGUAACGGCUCACCAAGGCGACGAUGCGUAGCCGGCCUGAGAGGGUGCCCGGCCACACUGGGACUGAGACACGGCCCAGACUCCUACGGGAGGCAGCAGUAGGGAAGCUUCCGCAAUGGGCGAAAGCCUGACGGAGCGACGCCGCGUGAGCGAAGAAGGCCUUCGGGUCGUAAAGCUCUGUUGUGAGGGACGAAGGAGCGCCGUUUGAAGAAGGCGGCGCGGUGACGGUACCUCACGAGGAAGCCCCGGCUAACUACGUG
rnacentral:rRNA from 1 species